AUUGAACGCUGGCGGCAUGCUUUACACAUGCAAGUCGAAGGUAACAGGUUAAGCUGACGAGUGGCGAACGGGUGAGUAAUGCAUCGGAACGUGCCCGGUCGUGGGGGACAACGCAGCGAAAGCUGCGCUAAUACCGCAUACGAUCUGAGGAUGAAAGCGGGGGACCGUAAGGCCUCGCGCGAUCGGAGCGGCCGAUGUCAGAUUAGGUAGUUGGUGGGGUAAAGGCUCACCAAGCCAACGAUCUGUAGCUGGUCUGAGAGGACGACCAGCCACACUGGGACUGAGACACGGCCCAGACUCCUACGGGAGGCAGCAGUGGGGAAUUUUGGACAAUGGGCGAAAGCCUGAUCCAGCAAUGCCGCGUGCAGGAAGAAGGCCUUCGGGUUGUAAACUGCUUUUGUACGGAGCGAAAAGGUCUCCUCUAAUACAGGGGGCUCAUGACGGUACCGUAAGAAUAGCACCGGCUAACUACGUGCCAGCCGCCGCCGUAA
rnacentral:rRNA from 1 species